UUUUUUUUGGAGACGCGGAAAAGAGCCUGUUUUGUGUGCUGCGGCCGCGCUGUGACUCUGGAUCUUGUUUCCUUGCGGGUGCCUCGAUUCCUGCCCAGCUGGAUUUGGGGGACAACACUGCUUGGCGCAGGGAGGACAGCAAAUGAAACUACAAAGAAGCAUAAAAUGAAUAGACAAUCCAAGCAAGCAAAGACCGGGGGCAGCAGCAAGCCAGCAAGACGGCAUCUUCUCCUCCCCAGCCUAGAAGCCCUGUGAAAUCGAGGAUCUUCCCCCUAAAACACACACACACAAGAUGUGUGCAAUCAAGCUGCCACCGCUUGGUUAAAAAAAAAAAAGCUCAUGCUGCCUAACCCCAAAGGAUCAGGAGCAGAUCCUUGAAUCAGCUGUCACUUCUUCUAUAGACUGGAAUGUUUUGUUUUGUUUUGUGUUUUUUCUUCCUUCCUCCUUAACCUGCGCUGGAAAAUUGCCUUUGGCUUUAUACAUCUCUAUAGAGGGAGGCUAAAGAGUCUUGCGUGAGAAUGAAGCCAUUUACAAUGCAAAUAGAGGCCCGUGAAGGGAUGAAGGCUGCUGCUUACUCUUAACUGCUUGCUGCACCGUAAUAGCUGGUUUUAUUUUCUGAUAUUCAUAGAUGAAUUGUUGGCUGACGCUGCCGGAGAUUACUUGCUGAAAAGAGAAAAAAAAAAAAGUUCGGAAUAAACUUUGAAGGCACCAGACCUCGUUUGGAUGUUUUAGCUGCACACACACAAACAGAAACCAGGUCAUAUUUACACACAAGAAAGGAGGAAUCUUAAGAGGCAAGUCUCCUGGAGGACUACUCUCCGCUGCUGCCCGAGAGGACCAACACCUGGAGUAUGGCCGGAGGAAGACCAAGAGGCCAUGUGAGGGAAGCGAGUUGUUAUCUUUGGUUAUCUAGCUGUAUGAGUGUAUUGGUCUUCAUAAAGCUAGAUAACCGAAAGUAAAAACUCCUUCAAGAUCGCCGGGGAGCGUGUGAGAAUGAAAGACUGCAACCAAGAGACAGUAAAUACCAAAAGGUCAGGACUACUUAUUGCAUCUAACUUUGUGUUUGGUUGGCUGGCUGGUUGGUUUCCUUAUGAUUAAAGAUGGGAUGAGAGGAAAUUAAGCGACCCACCUAUGAUGAUCUAUAAAGACGCCAGAUUCUCUGAGAGGGGUCGCUAAUGCUGCCGAUGCAGAUGCAGGUGCAACUUGUUCUAUUUAAGGCAGAAGUUUAUAUCCGAGGGGUCUUGUUUGUUUGUGUUUUGUUUUCUUUUCAGUCAUUUAUUUAUUGCUUUAUUAAGAAAGGUGUUGUAGAGGUGCCUGGCACUUAGUUUUAAAAUGAUCCCUUCAUAUGUAUGUAGAUUCAGUCAGUUCCCCUACUGAGGUUUCCCCUCCCCCACAAAAUGUGAAGCUUGUCAUUGGAAAUUCUUUCACAUGCAUUUGGGCUGCAUUUCACGUGAGUUGAAAUCAGGAGCUGAAAAAAGUUUAUACUGAAAGGUUAAUAAUUUCUAUCUACUGAGGAUUUAGAGCUAGCAAGGUACAUGGAGAGAGAGAGAAAGAGAGAGAGAGCGAGCAAAGGCUGAUUUUUUUUUAUUCUUCUAUUCAAAAUACAAGGACAGAUGCUUCUCUGUUCCAAGAGGGUUUCCUUGAGGAAGCUACUGAAGCAGAAAGACAUGAUGGAGACGAGAUCGCCUCCCCUCUUGUCAAAGUGUUAAAAAAAUGUUCUGUCUCACUCUGCGCCUAGCAUUGGAAGUGAAAGUGACAUUUACGCCACAACCCACGUGUGCGCCUCCUCUCUUUUUGUUUCAGGAUGAUCAGGUCUAUCCAGGAAACAGCUCUGGCAUCCCAAACUGAAAUAAUUAGGACGUAUAUAGACCUGACAAAAAUGGAAAGGGGGUGGGGGAUCUGAGGGUCUGUCUUGCCUAAUUGAUUCCGCUAAACGGAACGCAGGAGAUGUGAACGGCAGGACGCUCCGAUUCCCACGCUCGGGGGCAAGUGGUAAAGCGGGGCCCAGCAGCCUAUGACAGACAGCCCUGUUUGGGGGGGGGGGGGCGUAUGAAAAAAACAUCAAGUGCACACACCAUACUCAUCUCCAUCACUUAAGAAAGUAGAGGCAUUUCCCACCCACAGCCAUCUGCAGCCUCCCAAAUGGCAGCUCCAACUGGUCUGUAGCUGUUGCUUGCUGCCUGCUUCUGUUCAUUUUAUAACCGCUGCUUACUCUGGCCAUAAUUCAGUUUGGCUUUCUUAUUGAGUUGAGAUUUCCAAAAUUCGGGGAAAGUUGGUAGAAAGUGAUCCUAUGAAAGGCUCAUUACUGCUUACCUACCCCUCAUGACAAAUUCCCACUUUGUACUUGGGGCCUUGUGACGACCUCAUGGCUUUUGUUUAAGGUGGGCUAUAUAUUUGAAAAUAAAUAUUUGGGUAGAGCAGUCAUUCUAUGACUUCAUCAGGCUGCUUCUCGAGGAACUUGGCUUAAUUACGCUUAGUAGACACACUGAGUGUACAGCGUUAAAAUCAUCAGCCUGUUUAGUUACAAUAACCAGGUAAUAAUAGGUUUCUUUGGGGGUAGUGCAAGGCAGCUGCAUUCUAAAUAAUCAUAUUUAUUGAAUCUCAAAGUAACUGUGCUUAAUAGAAAACGUGGAUGCUUGCUGGCCCCCCCAUUGCAGUUUUUUCCACGGGUCAGCAAGCAAACGUCUGCAUAGGCAUUUACAUGUAAAUACAAACUUGGCCAUCAGAAAAUCCCCAGAAUGGCCUGCUAUCUUCCCUGGGGCCUAGACAGUUUACAAUCCCACUUAGACCAUCUUUCUUCAAAAGCGCUGUAUUUUCCUUUGUAGCUUCAACUCCUUGUAAGGCUUCAGAAUUGGAGAAGCUUGUAAAAUCACUAUUAGUUUCUGUUAGAAACUCAGAGACUUUAUUAAUGUAAAUUCCCAAUUUGGCUGCUGAACACGUGCCAGAGUUUUACUACUGUAGUGACCAUUGCGAAGACCCUUGUUUAUUUACAUUUGAAGCACUGUUUGUGCAAACAACCUUUCAUUGUUAAGUGCCUGUAUUCCUUUCAUUUACUUCAUGUCCAGGGGUGCUAUUUACCUAGAACCAUUGUCUACUACAAUUAACAUUUACAUUACAAAGUGUGUGGUUCUCUUUCUCAAGGAGGUUCAAUUAAGGCAAUAAGAUGUUUGCUGGGGAAACCUAUUGUUUACUGAAAGCCCUCAAUGGAGUCAAAUUACUGAAGCAUUUGCCUACAUCUUGGUCUUUUAUGGAAAUGUGUUAAAUAUAACAUCUAAGGAAAAUAAACAAUAUUAUAAUUAUGUGUUUGCCAUUGUCAUAUCAAAGUUACUUUGUAUCAUACUAAUGUUACAUGACUUAUCGAUCAAUAAAAAUGCAUUUCAAUGUUA